CUGACGAGCACGCCGCGUGAGUGAAGAAGGUUUUCGGAUCGUAAAACUCUGUUUGCCUAGAGAAGAACAAGGAUGAGAGUAACUGUUCAUCCCUUGACGGUAUCUAACCAGAAAGCCACGGCUAACUACGUGCCAGCAGCCGCGGUAAU
rnacentral:rRNA from 1 species